GAUGAAGAACGUAGUGAAAUGCGAUAAGUAAUGUGAAUUGCAGAAUUCCGUGAAUCAUCGAAUCUUUGAACGCACAUUGCGCCCCCUGGCAUUCCGGGGGCAUGCCUGUCCGGGCGUCAUUUCUGCCCUCAAGCACGGCUUGUGUGUUGGGUGUGGUCCCCCUGCUACAGGGGGGACUUGCCCGAAAGGCAGCGGCGACGCCCGCCUCGGUCCUCAAGCGUAUGGGGCUUUGUCACCUGCUUGGGAGGGGCCGACGGGUGUUGGUCAUCCACGAUUUUUUCCACGGUUGACCUCGGAUCAGGUAGGAGUUACCCGCUGAACUUAAGCAUAUCAAUAAGCGGAGGA
rnacentral:misc_RNA from 1 species